GGUGAGUAACGCGUUGGUGACCUGCCCCAAAGUGUGGGAUAACAGUCCGAAAGGAUUGCUAAUACCUCAUGUGGCCAUCGGGUUUAGAAACCGAUGUCUGAAGCAGCAAUGCGCUUUGGGAGGGACCUGCGUCCCAUCAGCUAGUUGGUGAGGUAACGGCUCACCAAGGCGACGACGGGUAGGGGGCCUGAGAGGGUGGCCCCCCACAAUGGAACUGAAACACGGUCCAUACACCUACGGGUGGCAGCAGUAGGGAAUAUUGCACAAUGGGCGAAAGCCUGAUGCAGCAACGCCGCGUGAGCGAUGAAGGCCUUCGGGUCGUAAAGCUCUUUUCUGGGAGAUGAGAAAGGACAGUAUCCCAGGAAUAAGUCUCGGCUAACUACGUGCCAGCAGCCGCGGUAAAACGUAGGAGGCAAGCGUUAUCCGGAUUCACUGGGCGUAAAGCGCGUGCAGGCGGUUUGGUAAGUUGGGCGUGAAAUCUCCCGGCUCAACUGGGAGGGGUUGUUCAAAACUACCAGACUCGAGAGCGAUAGAGGAAAAUGGAAUUCCCGGUGUAGUGGUGAAAUGCGUAGAUAUCGAGAGGAACACCAGUGGCGAAAGCGAUUUUCUGGAUCGUUUCUGACGCUCAGACGCGAAAGCUAGGGUAGCAAACGGGAUUAGAGACCCCGGUAGUCCUAGCUGUAAACGAUGUGAACUUGGCGUUCGUGGCUUAAACUCCAUCAGUGCCGCAGCUAACGCGAUAAGUUCACCGCCUGGGGACUACGGCCGCAAGGUU
rnacentral:rRNA from 1 species